CCCGGCCGCGGCGAGCCGGGAGGAGCGGGGUGAAGGGUGCGUGCGCGGGACGGCAGGAGACCCCACGCGGGUCUGGAGGCGGGAGGGUUCGUCUGCGCCCGGCGCUCCCCCACCGCGGGCGGGAGGCGGAGGCCGAGGGACAGCGGUCCAGGGCGCCCCCGCAGAGCGGGCCGGCUGGGUCCGGGAGGGGCGGGUGGCGAGGAGGGAGGAAGGGCCCCAAGCACACUCGGGGGGAGCGCGCGGGAGGGCCGACCCGGCAGGACGCGUCCCCAGGUCUCGUCGUACCCAGGGGCUGGAUACAUCUGAUACCUCUGGGUUUGGAAGGCCCCCAAACCUGCUGUGUCCCGGCUUCAGUGCCAGGGAUUUCUCCACGCCGAGUGCUGCAAACCCCGGCGUUCCUGGGAAGCGCGGCAUUUCGGAAGGUCGGGUCCCUCGACACCCACCCCGGCCCCGCUCCCGUGGAGCACACGCACUGUCCCAGCUUCACAACGAGAGAGUGAAGCGUGCGCGCCCUCACCCUCGCUAGGUCCUAGGGAGCCCUGAGCUGGGAGGUGCCCAACAGUCAGGAGCUCCCAGCCAGGGCAAGGAGGCCCAAGGGGCCAUGACUAGACCCUUUAGGCCGAAUCCGUCUGAGAAUCCUUGGAGAGCCCUGCUCGGACCCAGCAAGAAACCGGGCAGAAAACCCGAGGCCAGUGAGGCCUGCUCGAGGGACAGAACCCGGGCUGGGAGCCGGACGUGGACGGCUCCUCCCCGACCUGCUGGAUCCCAGGGACUCAUCUGUGUCCCGGAGCCAAGUCCUGGGUGCCUGGUGACCCCCCAGGGAGUGGAGCUCAGGGCUCAGAAGGUGGUCAGUUCUCACCAACGUGAUGGGCCCCCGGGUGUCUUGAAGUGCCGUGGAGGUAAGGGAGAGAUGCCCAGAAGGGGGCAGAAGGGCGCCUGGCACAGAGCAGGUGCCCCGAGCGCACCACUCCCAGCCUCUCUGUGCUUCUCCGGGGGCUAAGUUCGAGCCCUGCGUUGGGUGCAGAGGUUACUUGAAAGCAUGCUCUCGUGGCUCAGAGAGGCCGCCAUGGGAGCUCUCCCAGCCUUGGGGCUUUGCCCCUGGAGUUGAGCCUGCGCCCCUGGGGGGCUUGGACAUCUGUGUGGACACCGUCUCAGCCUGGCUGUGUGCGUCACAGGCACAGAACGCACCUAAGCCCUGAGAUGGGACUGACCUGCCCAACCAGGAGCCCAACUCCCUGGGAAGCAUCUGGAGGGUUAACAGAACAGGAGACGGUGCAGCAGGCACCUGGGGUCACCUUGGAGUCAGAAGCCAGCAUCGGCAAAUUUGGAUCUCGGGCUGAGCUGCCACCUCGGACACAGUCCUCUCCCUGCCUCACACCCCCGUGUCCACCACCUCCUCUGAGCUCCAGCUCCAUUUCUGUGUCUGCUUACCAUCCCCUCCCCGGCCCUGAGCUCCAGGGGCAGGGCCGGCACCCGGCAGGCGCCAGGCCGUGACACGGCCCAGUGACUGAGGAAUGGCUGAGCACCCACAGCCUGCGCCGGGGACCCUCCAGGUCAGCGGCCCCGGAGUCACAGCCAGAGAACAUGAGCCGCUUACUCCUUUACAGGCCGGUCCUCACAGUGAGGGUCCCCCCUGCACCGUGGCGCCCCCACCCCGCCAUGUCCAGCCCCAGCCAGUCUCCCUCAAGCACAACUCUGCUCCUUCUUCCUCCCAAACACACCUCCCAGCAUCCGCCCUACACAGCCCCAGGCCUCCACGCUCUCAUCCCCACGCCGCCCUGGCCGCGGUCCCCUCCUAGGGAGGCAGGUUCUGCACCUGCAGAUGGGCAGCCUACCCAGGCCUGGCCGGUCACUCAUUCAGUCCCAGGCACGAGUCUCACUCCAGGGCUCCCACUGGAGCUGCUGGGAACAGACCAUGCUUCCUGGGGAGGGCCCAGGCGAGCUGCAGCUUCCGGUGCCACAGCUGCCACCUUAGCACGAGGAAGCUAGAAGCCAACCGUCACAGCAGCCACAGUCACGGGACAGCCCGGCCAGGGCCUUCGCGUGUGCGCAUCAACAUGAGGGAAAUGACUCCUUUACGACAACCAGCAAAACCAGAGAAAGGGGGACCCCCGUCCAGAAGAAACAGGACAAGUAUCCAGAAAUGACCCCCCAGGCAAGAAGAGCAAAGACUCAGGUAAAGUGUCUAUAGGAAAAGGUGGAAAAUGCAGAAUUUCAGUAGAGAAAUGAAAAAAGCCAAGUCCACGUCCUAGAACCAAAAUAUACCCAGAGUGAGUAAGAGAAGGUGGGGGGCAGGCGCGCGUCAGCCGGCAUCCCCUUGGGCAGCCGGACACUGGGGGCAGCAGAGACGCUGGGACAGUGGCGGCCGGGGUGCCCCAGGCUCAGGAAAGGCACAAGGGGCCCCACACCAACCUGCCUCCCCUGGGACAGACCCACCCUACCCCCCGCAAACACGACACAUGGGACCCAACAUCAACCAGGAGUCCUCAAUCCAGCAACCCUAAGACACACACCACGUGCAGCAACGGGGCCUUCUCCGGCCAGCAGAGCAGGAACACCGCGGCCGUGGAGCCACCCAGGGACAGACCAGCUCGGCCGUGGCCCCACAGCCCCAGGGAGGAGCAAGCACCAGGCGCACAGCUGUCUUCAAAAGCCACGGCCACGGAAGAGCUCCCGCCAUGCUUGUGGCAGAGUGGCCAAAAUCCGGACCACGGAUGCUGGCGAGAGCUGGCGGGGCCGCAGGCAGUGGGAGCCUCUACCCUGGGCCGCCUCCACAGGACCCAAGGCUCUCCCCGCCCCUGCACUGGCUGUGGCUUGGACGGCCUCACGUCGAAGCAGCAUCAUGACCAGCCCCCUACAGCCCUGUGCCACCUCCGCCACGACAGCCCAGUUCACAGGGUCCACCGAGUGACCGGCCCCCAGCUCCUCCUCACAGCCCGUCCUCCCCAGCUACCACGAGGCACCCGUGGGUUUCAAAUCAAGUUUAAUAAAUAAAACAGCAAGGGAUUCAAGGCA